UAAGGAAUAUUGGACAAUGGAGGCAACUCUGAUCCAGCCAUGCCGCGUGAAGGAUGAAUGCGCUAUGCGUUGUAAACUUCUUUUAUACGGGAAAAAUAUCUGCUAUUCUUAGCGGAUUGAUUGUACUGUAAGAAUAAGGGUCGGCUAACUUCGUGCCAGCAGCCGCGGUAAUACGAAGGACCCGAGCGUUAUCCGGAUUUAUUGGGUUUAAAGGGUGCGUAGGCGUCCUGGAAAGUUACGGUUGAAAUCUCCUUGCUCAACAAGGAAACUGGCCGUAAAACUAUCAGGAUUGAGUACAUUUGAAGCGGGCGGAAUGUGUCAUGUAGCGGUGAAAUGCUUAGAUAUGACACAGAACACCGAUUGCGAAGGCAGCUCGCUAAACUGUAACUGACGCUGAGGCACGAAAGCGUGGGGAUCAAACAGGAUUAGAUACCCUGGUAGUCCACGCCCUAAACGAUGAUUACUCGAUGUGUGCGAUAC
rnacentral:rRNA from 1 species